UUGGAGGGCAAGUCUGGUGCCAGCAGCCGCGGUAAUUCCAGCUCCAAUAGCGUAUAUUAAAGUUGUUGCAGUUAAAAAGCUCGUAGUUGAAUUUCGGGAUCAAUUUAUUGGUCGUGCCAACGGUACGCACUGGUACAAUUGGUUUCUCCCUUCUGACGAAGCAUGAUGUCAUUAAUUUGAUGUCGUGGGGAAUCAGGACUGUUACCUUGAAAAAAUUAGAGUGUUUAAAGCAGGCUUUGGCUUGAAUACAUUAGCAUGGAAUAAUGAAAUAGGACGUUUGAUCUUAUUUCGUUGGUUUCUAAGAUCGACGUAAUGAUUAAUAGGGAUAGUUGGGGGCAUUAGUAUUCAAUUGUCAGAGGUUAAAUUCUUGGAUUUAUUGAAGACUAACUACUGCGAAAGCAUUUGCCAAGGAUGUUUUCAUUAAUCAAGAACGAAAGUUAGGGGAUCGAAGACGAUCAGAUACCGUCGUAGUCUUAACCAUAAACUAUGCCGACUAGGGAUCGGAUGAUGUUAAUUUUUUAAUGACUCAUUCGGCGCCUUACGGGAAAC
rnacentral:rRNA from 1 species